UACAGAGGUCCCGAGCGUUAGGCGGAAUCACUGGGCUUAAAGCGUGUGUAGGUGGAUCGUUAAGUACCUUGUGAAAUCCCACGGCUUAACCGUGGAACUGCUUGGUAUACUGGCGGUCUUGAGCCAGCUAGGGGCUACCGGAACAAAUGGUGGAGCGGUGAAAUGCGUAGAUAUCAUUUGGAACGCCAAAGGUGAAAACAGACAGCUGGGGAUGUGCUGACGCUGAGACACGAAAGCCAGGGGAGCGAACGGG
rnacentral:rRNA from 1 species